UCCACAGGGAGCCCAAACAUUUUUGAUUCUUUUGGCCAUGGCUUUCUGUAUGCAAAGCCGAAACAUUCCAAUAGUCUUAUUUCUAGGCUGAUAAUACUACAGCUGCAAUUAUUUUCUUCAAGGUCAUUGUCUGCUGACUAAGGAAGCAUUGCGGAAUUUCAACCCCCCUUUGUUCUGAAGGGAAAAAUAAUAUCUGGAUGAAAAUCAUCUGGAUAAAUAUUAUUUCUCAGUCUAUGACGUCAGAAGACAAUGGAACACAUUCCCCUUUCAUCUCUUAGCAUAUCCACGUGUGGAACAUCUAUUCAGACAGACCCUUCUCAAUUACCACUGAACGCUGAUAUCUCUGGACUAAAUGAACCUGGAGAAUUAGAGCACCUUUUAUGGUCUAAUGAGGAAACCGAAUGUAACUGCCACAGAACAAAGAGAGGGAGCCGGUUUGUGAAUGGCUGUGAGCCGGGGCUAUGGAUCGGGAACGGGCGCUGAUCUCCGCGCAAGCCCCGGAUCCUCGGCAUGUCACCGCGGCCUGGAGAUCAGCGGGGGCGUGACGUCACCGCGGAAGCGAGAGCGGAGGACGAAGAAUCUGGUGGUAAUGAGGGAUUAUGUGCGGAUUAGAUCCCUUUAUUAAGAUGUUUUUGAUCCUCAUUAGGCCGUUCCUCAUAUCUGUGCAUUGAUUCUCUCUCACUCAGCCCAUCCCAGCCCAGCGGUGGGGGAUUCACUCUCUGAUAGCUGAAAAUAAGAAAAGAAAAGUUAAAUGGGCCACAAACUUAACCUUUUAAAAAGAUAGUAUUGUUUUAGAGUUUGAAUGCUGCAAUGAGAAAUCGAAAAUAUAAGGCACAUAUUUUAGAUAUACCGGCAUACAUUUAUGAAGGUUCAUUUUUUAAUAAAAUAGAACAAUUGCAACCAUUUAUGACAUUUCUAUAAAUGUAUAAAAUUACACAUACAUAUUACAUUUAAUAUACCUGAAAGUAUUGUAUUUUGGAAAAACACAAGGAUAAUUAUUGAUAUAUUUUCAUAUACACACAUUGCAUUUUAAUAUGGGUAUGGGUAAGAUGCUUUCUUUUCGCAAUUUGGAAUUCCGAUUUUGGCAUUUAGGGACAUUUAGGGUCGAACUCAUUGCACUGUUUCCUGUCACUGUUCUUUGCGUCUCUGUGCCCACGCUGCGGAUCUUUGACCAUUAAACCCGAUCCUUUAUCUGUGCAGACAGACAUCUGUGUUGUGAGCGCGGAGUGUGUACAAGCAGACAUGUUUACGGGCGCAGGAUCUCUCUGCUAUUGUUUUUCAGAGAGAGAAGAGGGAGGAAGUGUGCAGUCCAGCAGCAGGCAGAGUCCGUGUAUUUCCAAAGUCAAUAUUGACGGCCUAUCAGGAGUUUAGAUAGCCACUAAGCAAACACUGAUGGCGGCUUUAACACCUCAGAAUCCAGUACAAUGGUGGGAGUGAAUCGCAGAAAUUCCUGGGCUCGUAGAAAAAAAAGAAGCAUCCCAGAGAUUAACAUGGAGGCCCAGGGAUGGCCAGGACAUUUGACAGAGGAUGGGAAAUGGCUGCUACAAUCACACCGGCAAGAGAUGACUGUGGCCCAGAGCCCAGGCCGACUGAAGGAAAUAGUAACACUAAAUCGCCAAUGUGCUGUUGUUUUUAUUAGA